rnacentral:tmRNA from 1 species
GACGGGGGUAUUGAAGCUAGAUAAGCGAGCCGUAGUUGCCUAGUCUACGUUAAAAGAGGCACGUUUAAAAAUAAACGCAAAAAAUAACAAUAAUUACGCUUUAGCUGCAUAGGCAGCAACCGCUAAGCGGUGCGUCGUCAGUCCUUAUUUACCUGUAGGUAAGGAAUCUGGCGUCAAAUAUACAGGAAAACUCCGUGUGAGCUCCUAGUAGCAUGGGGGACUUAUAGGAUAGCGGAGGACAGAGCCUGCUAAUGGGCGCUGUCUGAUGCGAAACAAACAAAACAUUAGCUGCGCUCGGAGAAAGUCUUGUGGAAAUGCUUUCGGACGCGAGUUCGACUCUCGCCACCUUCACCA